rnacentral:piRNA from 1 species
UGAGUCGAAAGGUAAGAGUGGUGGUU